rnacentral:rRNA from 1 species
AAUAUUGGACAAUGGGCGCAAGCCUGAUCCAGCAAUACCGCGUGUGUGAAGAAGGCCCUAGGGUUGUAAAGCACUUUCAAUUGGGAGGAAAACCUGCCGGUCAAUACCCGGUAGCUUGACAUUACCUUUAGAAGAAGCACCGGCUAACUCCGUGCCAGCAGCCGCGGUAAUACGGAGGGUGCAAGCGUUAAUCGGAAUUACUGGGCGUAAAGCGUGCGUAGGCGGUUCGUUAAGUCAGAUGUGAAAGCCCCGGGCUUAACCUGGGAACUGCAUUUGAAACUGGCGGACUAGAGUUGAGUAGAGGGGAGUGGAAUUUCAGGUGUAGCGGUGAAAUGCGUAGAUAUCUGAAGGAACACCAGUGGCGAAGGCGACUCCCUGGACUCAAACUGACGCUGAGGUACGAAAGCGUGGGUAGCAAACAGGAUUAGA